rnacentral:rRNA from 1 species
CCCUUAGAUGUUCUGGGCCGCACGCGCGCUACACUGACGAAAGCAACGAGCUUAUAACCUUGGCCGAAAGGUCUGGGUAAUCUCCAAAUUUCGUCGUGAUGGGGAUAGAUUAUUGCAAUUAUUAAUCUUCAACGAGGAAUGCCUAGUAAGCGCAAGUCAUCAGCUUGCGUUGAUUACGUCCCUGCCCUUUGUACACACCGCCCGUCGCUCCUACCGAUUGAAUGGUCCGGUGAAGCGUUCGGACCGUGGCCUUUGGACGGUUCGCCGUCUGUUGGCUGCGGGAAGUUCGUUAAACCUUAUCAUUUAGAGGAAGGAGAAGUCGUAACA